UUUCUGCUCAAUGAGAUUAUUUAAAUAGCCGCAGUAAUUUGACUGUGCAAAGGUAGCAUAAUCAAUUGACUUAUAAUUGAAGUCUAGUAUGAAGGAAUCUAUGGGGGUUUUCUGUAUCCUUUACGCUUUUAAAAAUUACUUAUAGAGUGAAAAUUCUCUAAUAGGAAAUAAUAGACGAGAAGACCCUAGAAAUUUUAAGGAAAGAUUUAUAUAGUUAUUUUUGUUGGGGCGACACAGUAGCAUAGUGAACCUACUUUGCAUAAUCUGAUUAUAUUUAUAAGUUAAAAUAAAUUACUCUAGGGAUAACAGCAUAAUAUUUAUAAGUUUGUGACCUCGAUGUUGGACUAGGAAAUAUCAGUUCAGAAAGCUAACUAUGGUGCUCUGUUCGAGCAAAUAAUCCUACGUGAUCU
rnacentral:rRNA from 1 species